rnacentral:rRNA from 1 species
GACGAACGCUGGCGUCGUGCUUAACACAUGCAAGUCGAACGGAAAGGCCCUGCUUUUGUUGGGUGCUCGAGUGGCGAACGGGUGAGUAACACGUGAGUAACCUGCCCUUGACUUUGGGAUAACUUCAGGAAACUGGGGCUAAUACCUGAUAGGUGCUCCUGCUGCAUGGUGGGGGUUGGAAAGUUUCGUCGGUUGGGGAUGGACUCGCGGCUUAUCAGCUUGUUGGUGGGGUAGUGGCUUACCAAGGCUUUGACGGGUAGCCGGCCUGAGAGGGUGACCGGCAACAUUGGGACUGAGAUACGGCCCAGACUCAUACGGGAGGCAGCAGUGGGGAAUAUUGAACAAUGGGCGGAAGCCUGAUGCAGAAACGCCGCGUGCGGGAUGACGGCCUGAGGGUUGUAAACCGCUUUCGCCAGUGACGAAGCGUGAGUGAAGAUAAUGGGUAAAGAAGCACCGGAUAACUACGUG